AUUGAACGCUGGCGGCAGGCCUAACACAUGCAAGUCGAACGGUAGCACAGAGAGCUUGCUCUCGGGUGACGAGUGGCGGACGGGUGAGUAAUGUCUGGGAAACUGCCCGAUGGAGGGGGAUAACUACUGGAAACGGUAGCUAAUACCGCAUAACGUCUUCGGACCAAAGUGGGGGACCUUCGGGCCUCACACCAUCGGAUGUGCCCAGAUGGGAUUAGCUAGUAGGUGGGGUAAUGGCUCACCUAGGCGACGAUCCCUAGCCGGUCUGAGAGGAUGACCAGCCACACUGGAACUGGGACACGGUCCAGACUCCUGCGGGAGGCAGCAGUGGGGAAUAUUGCACAAUGGGCGCAAGCCUGAUGUAGCCAUGCCGCGUGUAUGAAGAAGGCCUUCGGGUUGUAAAGUACUUUCAGCGGGGAGGAAGGCGAUGGAGUUAAUAGCUUCAUCGAUUGACGUUACCCGCAGAAGAAGCACCGGCUAACUCCGUGCCAGCAGCCGCGGUAA
rnacentral:rRNA from 1 species